rnacentral:rRNA from 1 species
AACGAACGCUGGCGCCAGGCUUAACACAUGCAAGUCGAGCGCCCCGCAAGGGGAGCGGCAGACGGGUGAGUAACGCGUGGGAAUCUACCCAUCUCUACGGAAUAACGCAUGGAAACGUGUGCUAAUACCGUAUACGUCCUUCGGGAGAAAGACUUAUCGGAGAUGGAUGAGCCCGCGUUGGUUUAGCUAGUUGGUGGGGUAAAGGCCUACCAAGGCGACGAUCCAUUGCUGGUCUGAGAGGAUGAUCAGCCACGAGGAGACUGAGACACAGCCAAGACUCAUACGGGAGAGAGCAGGGGGGAAUAUUGGACGAUAGGCGCAAGCCUGAUCCAGCCAUGCCUCGUGAAUGAUGAAGGCCGAAGGAUUGUAAAGCUCUUUCACCGGUGAAGAUAAUGACGGUAACCGGAGAAGGAGCCCCGGCUAACAUCGUGCCAGCCGCCGCAGUAAAAC